UUUUAGUGGUUGAUGUCUUUCUGUAAAUAUUUUAACCUAAUAAUGUGAAAGAGGAUUGGACCUUAAUUUGUUACUUUUGAUAAUGCAUUUUAUGAUUUCCAAAUAUUCUCAUAGUAAAAUUUACAUAUUAAAAAGUAGAUAUUCUACUUUAAUUGAAACUACUCAGAUGUCCAUUUUGCUGAUGUCUGUCUUUGCCAAGGAUAAGUUUCUAGUCAAUAUAAAUGAGAUUUAUAUCUGUGUCUUUGUCCCGGAAAAGUCAUUUGGCUCCUUACUUUUUUGAGUUUGAGGUUUCAAUUUAGAUUUGAAUAUAAUGAGUUGUAGAAAUGGUUCAGCAGCUAACAAUGCAUAUUGCUUUUAUAGAGGAUCAGAAUUUGAUUUCCCCCAUCUUCUCAGGCAGCUCAUAAGCACCUGUAACUCUAGCUCUAGUGUAUCCUACACCUUCAGCUUUCUCUGGCACCUACACAUGUGGCAUAUACCCAUACAGACAGACAUUCAUACAUAUGACUAAAAAUGAGAUCAAUCUUAAAACAAGAAUCAAGUAUACCAACAGGUAGAAAGGCUGAUAAACGUUUCAGUAGCAACCAACCUGUGAAGAUCAACAUGUCCAGUCUUAAAUAAGAUUUCCAGGUAUGAGUUGAUUAGUAAGCAAUCUCACCAACACCAAGUAAGGAUUGCAAAGCCUUAGAAUUUCAUUGUGGAAGUAAACCUUUAUUUUGAUGAAAGAAACAUUGAUAAUUAGUUUUAGUGUUCUAUUUACCUGUGAAUUUACUUAUUAACACACAUAUAUGAUUAUAUAUAACUUAGUAUAAUCAUGAUUCUAUUUUAUGNNNNNNNNNNNNNNNNNNNNNNNNNUUCAGUAUUUUUAUUAUUUAUUUUUUACUCACAUUGAGGCAAUUUCCAAUUUGUUAAAACAUAAAAAUGUUUAGUAAUGUUUAUGAUUUUUUUAUUUUUUGCUCAGUUUUUGGCUAGCACUGAAUACCAUAGAAAAUCUAGUCUUUAAUGAGCAAGUACAUUUGCAGAAUAAAAACAUUUUUAAAAGGUAAUUUUUAUUUAUGCCAAAUUACUCUUCAAAGUACAUGGUCUGUUGUUUGAGUCUUCUUAGCUCUCCUGUAAAAUGCAUUAUAUUCUCUGGCCUGAAUAGUAUAUUUUCUAGAUAAAACCAUAUAAUUAGAGCUUAAUUGAUUGAACCAUUUUUAGGAAAGCAGUGAUAAAUUUUAAUUUUUCUCAAUACUGUAAAUAUGUCUGUCUGUCUGUUUGUUCCUUUGACCGGGUCUUAUUGCGUAGCCUGACCUGGAACUUGCUUUAUGGACCAGACUAGCCUUGAACUCAAAGAGAUCUUUCUGCCUCAACCUCUUGAGUGCUGGGAUUAAAGGAAUGUACCACUAUGUUUGGCUGUAAAUAUGCUUUUUGGUCUUAAAUUUUUUUUAACUUCUGUAUUUUUAUAGUGGUGCUAUUAUCAUCUAACAUACAUACCAGAUUUCCUUAAAAUAGCUCUUGAGUAGCAUCUUAACUAUACAACAAUUCUCUCUAUAUAUCCAUGUAUUUGUAUAUCCACACACAUAAAACACACACACAGUAUUGGACCUAGUUGAAUAGACUUUCUGAGCCUCGAUGAAUAAGGAGAGAAAUCAACACAGGAAAAAAAAAAUCAGUAUAUACCAGUCUUUUUUAGAAAAAUGUCC
ensembl:sense_intronic Gm42701 predicted gene 42701